UAGGAAUACGUUGGUGGACAGAAGGCGAUCACGACAUGUCACCAGCCUGUCACCAAAUAUGCCAAACCACAUACAGCCAGUGUGACUGCCUCUGACAGCGACGUGUACAGCCAUAACCAUUACUGCAGGAUAUUCCGCACACGACCAGAUGGCUGUUUCCUGUGACAUAUCACAUGCACGUGAGCAUUGUCCCGUGCGGCACGUGCAGCAAAAUGUCAGGCUAAUCACAAACGAAUCACCGAUGAUGACCUCAUGAAUGUAGAGGCCUAAACUCCAGAGGAAAAUAGACUGUUAUCAGCAGAAAUCCAGAUUACUGAAACAGGAACCCUCGUUGCCUUCAUGCUUGUGGAUGUAUACAGAGCUUGUCACAAGACACGCUGUCGAGAGGCCAUGGCAAAACAAUCAAAGAUGAUGAAGCUGAUACAGACUUCAGUGCCAUGAUUGUCUCUCCCCGUUUCCUGCCAGCAUCAGUAUACCUUGCUACAAGGCCAAAUGUAUGGUUGAUAACAGAAAUUGCCAUUCCACAGGGAUUAUUUCCUUCAAGCUCCAACAAUGUGAACUGGAAUCUCAUAUUGGCAUGGAUUUCACUGAUUCCAUGCAGGAUAUGAAAGGCCUGUGACGUUCACUGCUCUAAGCCCUUCAAACUACCAUGACUUAUACCACAACACGCUCGAGGGUAGUGACACCUGUCAGCAGGGACCGAUUUUCGCCAAAGUGAUUACAGAAGUCAAGGUAAACGCACAACGCCGAACUGUGUCCAGGAAUUUCAGGCAUAGUCCUGGGACCCGAACACAAAGUUAGUUAUCAUGCGAGGCAACCUUAAUGCACAGAGGUAUCCAGAUGAUGUUUCGAGACCCGACCUAGUGCCACUGCUUCAAACAACUCCCUGUUUACCCUUCCAACAAGACCACGCUAGAUCUCAUGCAAUUCUGACGUAAGACUUCCACAACAUUCCUGUUUUGCCAUGGCCUUCAAUUUUCUCCUGACAUGAACCCCGUUGAACUUUUAUGGGAUCAUCUUGACAGGUAAAUCAGAAGGCGACCAGUACCUCCAGUCAACCGUCCGGAAACGGAACGAUCUUUUCUGUAUAAAUGGCAGUGGGUUUCCGAUAAUGUCAUCUGGGGCUUGAAGCCAUCGUUGCGGCAAUCUCUUGUGGAUUACAUUGAUGCACAAGAUAUUAAUCUAGUGUUUACUGACUUUCCAGAGACUAUAGAACUGUUGUUGAACAAGUGUUUUUAACUGUGACAUCGUCACAUUUUGGACCAAAAGUCCAACUCGAACAGUUUCUCCCUUUUUGGAAUGUAUUUUUCACAACAUGCCAAAUACUAAAAUUGCGUGUGAAUCCAAUACUAAUGAAUGUUGCUUGUGAAGACUGCGCGUAAAUACAAUACGACUACUGCGUUUGAAUCCAUUACGAAUGCUACGUGUCAAUCCAAUAUACUGGGGGUGAAUCCAAUACUGAUGGCGUGUG